rnacentral:rRNA from 1 species
AGUGAACGCUGGCGGUAGGCCUAACACAUGCAAGUCGAACGGCAGCACAGUAAGAGCUUGCUCUUACGGGUGGCGAGUGGCGGACGGGUGAGGAAUACAUCGGAAUCUACUUUUUCGUGGGGGAUAACGUAGGGAAACUUACGCUAAUACCGCAUACGACCUACGGGUGAAAGCAGGGGAUCUUCGGACCUUGCGCGAUUGAAUGAGCCGAUGUCGGAUUAGCUAGUUGGCGGGGUAAAGGCCCACCAAGGCGACGAUCCGUAGCUGGUCUGAGAGGAUGGUCCGCCCCACUGGGAACUGGACACCGGCCAAGGUCCCAAGGGGGGGACGAGGGGGGGAAGUUUGGAAAUGGGGGGAAACCCGGUACCACCAUAACCCGGGGGGGGAAGAAGGCCUCGGGGUGGGAAGCCCCUUUUUUGGGGAAAAAAAGCAGGAGGGUUAAACCCCGGCGGUCCGACGGUAACCAAAAGAAAAGGAACGGCUAAAUUCGUG